GAUGAACGCUGGCGGCGUGCCUAAUACAUGCAAGUCGAGCGAAUGGAUUAAGAGCUUGCUCUUAUGAAGUUAGCGGCGGACGGGUGAGUAACACGUGGGUAACCUGCCCAUAAGACUGGGAUAACUCCGGGAAACCGGGGCUAAUACCGGAUAACAUUUUGAACCGCAUGGUUCGAAAUUGAAAGGCGGCUUCGGCUGUCACUUAUGGAUGGACCCGCGUAGCAUUAGCUAGUUGGUGAGGUAACGGCUCACCAAGGCAACGCUGCGUAGCCGACCUGAGAUGGUGAUCGGCCACACUGGGAGUGGGACACGGCCCAGACUCCUACGGGAGGCAGCAGUAGGGAAUCUGCCGAAAUGGACGAAAGUCUGACGGAGCAACGCCGCGUGAGUGAUGAAGGCUUUCGGGUCGUAAAACUCUGUUGUUAGGGAAGAACAAGUGCUAGUUGAAUAAGCUGGCACCUUGACGGUACCUAACCAGAAAGCCACGGCUAACUACGUGCCAGCCGCCGCAGUAA
rnacentral:rRNA from 1 species